GAUGCCAUGCUUCCAGGAAAAGUCUCUAAGCUUCAGUUACACAGGAAUCGUACCCGAAACCGACACAGGGGGUCAGGUCGAGUAGACCAAGGCGCUUGAGAGAACUCUGCUGAAGGAACUAGGCAAAAUGGUACCGUAACUUCGGGAGAAGGUACGCUGUUGUUGGUGAUGGAACUCGCUUCCUGAGCUGACGACAGCCGCAGAAACCAGGCCGCUGCAACUGUUUAUUAAAAACAUAGCACUCUGCAAACACGAAAGUGGACGUAUAGGG
rnacentral:rRNA from 1 species